rfam:Pseudomonas sp. FeS53a scaffold43.1, whole genome shotgun sequence.
UUUUAUGACGGAUCGCGCGGGGAGACCCUUGCGGUCUGCCGGGUCCUAGCGCCGGUCUGUCAACCCCGCGUGGUCCGUCACCCUU